rnacentral:tRNA from 1 species
GGUAGUGUGGCCGAGCGGUCUAAGGCGCUGGAUUUAGGCUCCAGUCUCUUCGGAGGCGAGGGUUCGAAUCCCUUCACUGCCA